AUCUCCACAAUAAAGCUGGGCAAUGAUGGAUAAAUAGUCUGAGUUAUGAGCUGUCAUGUAUUUCUCUCUCUCUCUCUCUCUCUCUCUCUCUCUCUCUCUCUCUCUCUCUCUCUCUCUCUCUCUCCAGUCGGUCUUUAAAUGGCUUUGAAAUGAAAGUAUGCACCCACACACACAUAAGCCCAUAUGUUUUGCUAUGUUUUUGACUACUUAGCUGAGCCUGUCAUAUACUUUAUAGACAUAAGUCUUGCUGUCUGUGGAUAACAAAUACAUGCCCUUGUACCCUCAAACACACUCCUCCACUGUAUAAGUAUGCCUAACACUUUUUAAGCGCAGGUACAGAAACAGGAGCUGUCAUGGCCUCUACGAUGGGAAGUUUAUCAAAUUGGAUUUAAUGUGGUGGGGAUCUGCGGAAUUUAUCAUGCAUCUUUUUUUUAUACAUUAAAAAGAUUGAAAAUACAACUGCAUGUCAUUUUUUCCCAGUCAAAGCAUUUUCACAUGGAUCAUCUGCACCGAUCUUAUUAAUUUUUCCAAAGUAAAAAAAGCAUUUGGAACAAGCGUCUUGGUGCGGUCUAACCCUUUUUUCUUUCAUAUGUUCCAAGAUACGGAGAAAGGAACUGGGUUCAUGAACAGUUAAGACUGUUGGAAUUUACACAGAAACCAAAGAGUGACAAAGGAUUUAAGAAUUAAUCUAACAAUGUAUGACUGUCAAUGCUAACAGUUCCUUACUAACUUUAUUAAACGAACAGCAUUUUAAAGUUGUAUAUUUAUUACUAAUUAUAUAUGCAGUCAUUCUUGAUCGAAGCGUAAAUGUCCGAGUGUUCCCCGAACGCCUCUCAACGGUCUCUCCCGUCCCGUCUUUCCAGAGACGGAAGUUAUUCUGUGCUGCUCGUUGGACUGGCUAAUCAGAAAUCUUCAUCAGCUCUUGCGUUGACUGGCUAAACUGACAUCGUCACCAUCGUGCGUUGACUAGGACCGAAAUCUGGUACCUGGGAAUCAAUACUGUUGCUGAGUGGUGUCCUCCGGACCAGUCUCCUCUCACCACUAUUGGACAUUUUGUUUCCAGCUGUGUUUACCUUCCUUUUCCUGUUCCAACUCAUCUGGAACGCCAUUCCCUGUGCAUAAUCCUAUCUUUCUAUUUGUAAAAGUGUUUCCAUAACCAGUUAUCCCAAUAGGUGUUCUGGUUUUCCUUAAUUCAGAAACCUGGUCUACAGGUGACCAGAGUUUCCUUUCUUUUUACAAACCUGGUAUUUGCUUUGUUUAAACCAGUGUUUACUGUCUCUCUUCUGACCUUUGUUUCCAGCUGACCUUAUUUCAGCAAUUUGGCCUUAUCAGAACUCAACUUUUUGGCACAACUUUUUGGCACAACUAUUUUCAGAACUCAACUUUUUGGCACAACUAUUAUCAGAACUCUGGUCUCUUUGAGGCACCCUGUUUCUUGGCAAAAAAAAAAAUUAUCAAGUGAAAAGUGCUUGAUUGGGGUUUUCUGGCUACCCUGCAUCUUUAUUGAUUGAUCGAGACCUGAGAGAAGUGCUGCAUCUGGUCCUGAGCUGCUGUCCUGUGGAUUUACCAAAGGUUUGUUGUUGCUGUUGAAAUAAAACAUCUGUAAAAAAGAAAA